GUACUUCUUCAUCCGAGUUAGAAUGAGCUGCAGUAGUACUGCUGGCAUCGGACGGUGAAGAUGAUUCUUGGCUGCUGUAAAAUGGCUGCGAAUCCAUUGAAGAAGGGAAUUAGCUAGCUAGAUUAAAUAUAGAUUAAUGGGUUCACUUCGCUUCCAAAUCUGGUGUGAAAUUGAACUUCUGAAGUUUUUGGGAAGGGAAGAUGCUAUAGCUUUGAC
rnacentral:misc_RNA from 1 species